rnacentral:tRNA from 1 species
GUUAGUAACACUUUAAGUGCUUUUGAUUGAAAUCAGAAUGGUUGUUUUUAGUAACAAUAUUAACU